rnacentral:rRNA from 1 species
AGGGAGAUCCCCCACACUGGUACUGAGACACGGACCAGACUCCUACGGGAGGCAGCAGUGAGGAAUAUUGGUCAAUGGGCGCAAGCCUGAACCAGCCAUGCCGCGUGCAGGAUGACGGUCCUAUGGAUUGUAAACUGCUUUUGCACAGGAAGAAACAACAUUACGUGUAAUGUCUUGACGGUACUGUGAGAAUAACGAUCGGCUAACUCCGUGCCAGCAGCCGCGGUAAUACGGAGGAUCCAAGCGUUAUCCGGAAUCAUUGGGUUUAAAGGGUCCGUAGGCGGUUUAGUAAGUCAGUGGUGAAAGCCCAUCGCUCAACGGUGGAACGGCCAUUGAUACUGCUAGACUUGAAUUAUUAGGAAGUAACUAGAAUAUGUAGUGUAGCGGUGAAAUGCUUAGAGAUUACAUGGAAUACCAAUUGCGAAGGCAGGUUACUACUAAUGGAUUGACGCUGAUGGACGAAAGCGUGGGUAGCGAACAGGAUUAGAUACCCUGGUAGUCCACGCCGUAAACGAUGGAUACUAGCUGUUGGGAGCGAUCUCAGUGGCUAAGCGAAAGUGAUAAGUAUCCCACCUGGGGAGUACGUUCGCAAGAAUGAAACUCAAAGGAAUUGGCGGGGGCCCGCACAAGCGGUGGAGCAUGUGGUUUAAUUCCAUGAUACGCGAGGAACCUUACCAAGGCUUAAAUGUAGACUGACCGGUUUGGAAACAGACUUUUCGCAAGACAGUUUACAAGGUGCUGCAUGGUUGUCGUCAGCUCGUGCCGUGAGGUGUCAGGUUAAGUCCUAUAACGAGCGCAACCCCUGUUGUUAGUUGCCAGCGAGUCAUGUCGGGAACUCUAACGAGACUGCCAGUGCAAACUGUGAGGAAGGUGGGGAUGACGUCAAAUCAUCACGGCCCUUACGCCUUGGGCUACACACGUGCUACAAUGGCCGGUACAGAGAGCAGCCACUGGGCGACCAGGAGCGAAUCUACAAAACCGGUCACAGUUCGGAUCGGAGUCUGCAACUCGACUCCGUGAAGCUGGAAUCGCUAGUAAUCGGAUAUCAGCCAUGAUCCGGUGAAUACGUUCCCGGGCCUUGUACACACCGCCCGUCAAGCCAUGGAAGCUGGGGGUGCCUGAAGUCGGUGACCGCAAGGAGCUGCCUAGGGUAAAACUGGUAACUAGGGCUAAGUCGUAACAAGGUAGCCGUACCGGGAGGUGCGGCUG